GGUACCAUCUAAUCCUGAGUGAGUGCCUUUUACCAUAGGAAGGUAGAGAUAAUCACCAGUGGUCAGGAAAUAGGACCACCACAGGCUAUGCUGUCUUUAUUGAUAUAGAACAAUUUAUCUUUGAUGCUGCAGCCAAACAUCUGAUUGGAUGCAUUUUUGAUGAGGCAGUUCUCUAGUCUUAUAUAAAGCACUGGUCUUUCAUGAUAGUAAAUGACAAAAGUUUCUCUUUUGAGGAAGUAUCUAAAGUGGUUAUAACAAAGACAAAAAAAAAUUGCAGAAGCCCAUUUGCAUGGGAGGAUCAUUGUCAACACUGUCAAUACAGUACUUGCUAAAUUUAACUACUCCAACCAUCAGGCCUCCAAAUAGCCUAGAACCAUUGAUGGUCUCAAUAUAAGAAUCAUCAUUGAACCAAUAGUCAGAACUAUUGGUUAGUUCUUGGACAAGAUAUUUGGUGCUGAGAGAAAUGUGUUGAUCUAUAACCUAAGAGAUGGUACUUUUGAUGUGUCUAACCUCCAUUAACAAAUAGAAAAUCUUUGCAUGUAAGUGUGCAGCCAUGGACACUUACUUGGUUAGAGAAGACUUUAAGUCUCAGACUCAUGGCAUCAUCCUAGAGGGUGCAUCUACCUGCAUCUCUAAGCUUUAGAAACUCAGAAAUUCCUAUAGGAAUUUUUUAACAGAAAGGAACUGGAAAAAAAAAAAAGCAUAGGCCCUGAUAAGGGAAUCAGUUGUGUUUGUGGAUAUCCAGGAAGCCACUUAUCCCUUGUGCAGAGAUUUGAAAAUAUUUAGGAUUUGCUGCUUUUUAAUUUUACUCCUUUUCCUUUGGUGGAAAUCAUGACUAGUGGAAUCAUGACUAUUCUGACCAAGUGCGUUUAAUAAAACCACUGAACAGACUCAGACCUUCACUAACUAUCUACUCUGACAACCAGGGUUUGCUCAUUAAGGUUUACAAAAUUGAGUGAGCAAUGAUGAAGGAUAACAACCAGCCCGGCAAAUUUGAACUCACGGGCAUUCCUCCUAAACCCUUUGGAUUUCCACAAAUUUAAAUAACUUUUUAUAUUGAUGCCAACAGCAUCUCAAAUGUGUUUGCUGUUGAUAAGAGAUCAGGAAAAAAGAAGAUUAAAAGACAAAUGACCCAGUGUUUGCCCAUGGAAACACUGAGUAUUUGGUCCAAGAGGCAUAGAAGUACAAAGCUGGAAAACGAGAAACAAAGAGACAGAGUUUCUUGUAAGAAGUUGCUCAGAUCCUAUGUAUUCAAUAGGCCACAGUGAAAAAUGAGAGACGGCAAAGCAGAAUCAAAGAUGAAGUCAAACACAAGACUCCUGACAAGUGCAAUGGAGUCAUCAAUGACUGGUCAAGAAUCUCAUUACUGAGAAGGAAGAAUUUAACAUCAGCCAAAAGAGCUGGAGAGGGUAAAAACCCUGCCGUUAUCACAGUGUAACAGAGCUAGCACCAUGCUAGGUGCUUUGCUAGGGACUUCCCUAGAAGUGGUUGCCCAUCCUCUAGAGGUGUGUCUUCUG
rnacentral:lncRNA from 1 species